rnacentral:piRNA from 1 species
UGGGUGAGUGAUAGGGAGACAUAGGUUUC